rfam:Myotis lucifugus cont2.44205, whole genome shotgun sequence.
GUCCAUUUGGCUCAGUGGAUAGAGCAUCAGCCUGCAGACUGAAGGGCCCUUGGUUCGAUUCCAGUCAAGGGCA